CAGCAGCCGCGGUAAUACGUAGGACCCAAGCGUUAUCCGGAUUUACUGGGCGUAAAGAGUUGCGUAGGUGGUAGAGUAAGCGAACAGUGAAAUUGUGUGGCUCAACCAUACACCCAUUGUUCGAACUGCUCAGCUUGAGGACGAGAGAGGUAACUGGAAUUCCCUGUGUAGGAGUGAAAUCCGUAGAUAUAGGGAGGAACACCGAUGGCGUAGGCAGGUUACUGGCUCGUUCCUGACACUGAGGCACGAAAGCGUGGGGAGCAAACGGGAUUAGAUACCCCGGUAGUCCACGCCGUAAACGAUGGAUGUUAGCUGUUAUCAGUAUCGACCCUGGUAGUAGCGAAGCUAACGCGUUAAGCAUCCCGCCUGUGGAGUACGGCCGCAAGGCUAAAACUCAAA
rnacentral:rRNA from 1 species